rnacentral:lncRNA from 1 species
UUCAUUAAGAUCGGUUUAACAGAUUUUGCAAAAUAAAUUUUGCAAUCCAGCUUUCGCAAAAAAAAAUUCAUUUUUUCAAAAUGUUACAGGACUGAAAAUAAAGCAGAUAGCAAGUUGAAUUUUUUUUUGCUUAUAGAAGUGUACUGUACAUUUCAUUUGCAUUUUGCAAAACAAAAAUCUAUUUACUACCACGGCGUCAGGAAUUUUUUUAAAUAAACAUUAAUUAUUGGUGCUACGCGCAGGACAGCGGAUAGUUUGCUUUGAUUGGGCAUUCCAAUGAUCUUUGAUAACGAUUGGUACAUUUUAAUUUUUAUUACAUUUCGAUAUAAAUAAAUAAAUAAAUUUGUUUAUUGCAAAAUAAAAACACAUACUCUAUCCUUUGAAAUAACACCUUAUUUAGCAAAAACUUUCUUUGUUCAUAUAAUAUUUUAGCUUAGAGAUUAAAAUUUUAUUAUUUUUAAACAUAUGCAAUUGUUUAAACAAGACUUCACAAACAAUAAUAAAAUUGGAUUGAUUUUUGUGGAAUUAAAAUAUUAAAAUACAACAAAAUAUAGAGUAAGAAAAUAAUAUAUUCGAUAAAGAUUGGAAGAAAUGUUGGUGGAAAUCAACUUGUGUGAAUCGAACACCGCUGUCCUGCGCGUAGCACCAAAAAUUAAUGUUUAUUUAAAAAAUUUCCUGAAGCCGUGGUAAUAAGUCAAUGUUAAUUUUGAAAAUUGCAAAUGAAAGGUAGAGUACACUUCUAUAAGCAAAAAAAAUCAACUUACUAACUGCUUUAUUUUCAGUCCUGCAACAUUUUAAAAAAUGAUUUUUUUGCGAAAGCUGGUUUGCAAAAUUUAUUUUGAAAAAUCUAUUAAACCGAUCUUAAUGAAAUUUACAGUGUUGUUUUAUUAUAUCACAAAGUUUUUCUGGGUAAAAUAUGAAGGUCCUCAGUCAAGCAUAAAUGGUUGAAAAACGUAAAAUGCGAAUACUUGUUUUUGUAUGGAUUUUUGGCAAUUAUUACUAUUUUGCAACAAGGGUGACUAUUCUGUAAAUUUUUAACCAAUUCUAUUUUAUAGGAAAUUUAAUUACGCAACUUUUAUGUUAGUACAACUUUUCUCAAAAAUGAAUAGUUUUAAAGUUAUAAUCAAAAAACCAAUAAAAAAUCGAAUUUUUCCUUCUUAUGUUGACAUUUUGAUUAUUUAAACAAUGUUCCGGACCAUUUUAAGAGGGAGGAUAACUCAAAUAUUAUUAUUUAAGUUAUUUUCAAGCAAUUUCUGCAAAAAAAUUGAGUCACCUCUCAACGUCCAUCUCAAAACAGAUGCGCCCUGGACUAUAAACUUUUAAGAUGAUUUGAAGUGCAUCUUCAGUAAGUACCUACUUAAAUGGAUAUUCUUAAAAAUCAUUUCAAAACACAACACAGCAAAAAUACUGAAGACGAUUCACUGAAUCUGAUUAUGAAUGUAUUACUCUGAUUAGUAAUAAUUAUUUUUAGGUGAUUUUCUUUAAUUAACGUAAUAGGCCUGGAUCCCGCGUAUAAAAAAACGAUUAAUAGCAAGUUGAAAAUUUGUUAAUAACUUAACGGUGUCUAGUCGGAGAAACUUUGAUGUACGGGAACACUAGAACAGGGGAAGUUUUAAUUGUGGAGCAGUCUAAGAAUUUGGAACGUUAGAUUACGAAAACGCUCCAUGUCUAACAGAACUUCCAAUUCAUUUGAUAUCAUUUCAUUAAAAUCUCAUGUAAAAAUCAGACUGCUAUUUAUCACCAAUAUAAUUCCUCUCAUUUGAUAUGUUCUUCGUGUUCCACUCAUUAAAAUUCCCAGUUGGUGGUAAACACCAGUCUGAUUUUUACAUGAGAGUUUAAUGAAAUGGUAAAAAAUCAAUUUAAAGUUCAGUCCGACAAAAUACAUGGGACGUUUUCGUAGUCUGACGUUUCAAAUUUUUAACCUGUUCCACAAUUAAAACUUCCCCUUUUCUAGUGUUCCCAUACAUAAAAAUUUGUCCGACUAGACACCGUUAAGCUAUUAACAAAUUUCCAGCUUGUAAUUAAACAACCUUUUUUGGUACACGGGAACCCGGUCUAUAAACUUAUUUAUUCUUAAUAUAAAUACAAAAUCAAAAAAGAACAUGUUCAACAAUAUUUCUGUCUCAUGUAUCUACGAUAAUUUAGGCCAGUAUAAUAAGACAAAAAUAUACCCUGUUCGUGACACUCCAACAGCCAGGGUACUGAAUCGUUUUUUCGAGAGGAAAUGCCUAUAAUAACAAAUUUUAACUAUUUCCUGCGUAGGAUCUGGCGGCCAUUUUUAUUUUUAAAAAAUUUAGUGACAAAAAACGGCCUUUUUUCCUUUUCUUCAAAUUAAUGGAAAACAUUAAGACUUAUGGUUUUAUCUAACAAUAAAACACUGAACACUUUUGUUUUCUAUACUUCCACAAAAUUUAUUAUAUCUAUGUGACUAUAGCUGUUUCGGCAAAGUGCCUUUCUCAAGUGAUUUAGUUUACUAUGUGUUUGCCUUUUUAAAGUCUUUAACUGAAGAGGUUGAGGAGUGGGGAGCUGUUUGUCUCGAGUUGGUCAUUCAGAAUUAUAUCUUUAUUUUUCCAUUUAUUAAUUUCCAUAGAUUCUAAUAAAGAUAGCUUAAGGCCUUUAUUUUGAAUAUGUAGAAUUUGAAACUGUUCAUUAAAAGAAUGAUUAUGAUCUAGAAGGUGAAGUGCGUAUGUAGACGUGUCUGUUUUUCUAUUGGUGAAAGCCUUUUUGUGUUCUGGUAUCCGUUUGUCAAAGGUUCUACCAGUUUGACCGAUGUAAGUUUUCGGACAGUCACCACAAGUUAGUUUGUAAACACCACUCUGUAGUUGUUUUCUCCCUCGGGUCUUAUUGUUCUUAAUAUAUUUGCUUAAGUUGUUGUUAGUUCUGAAAGCUGGUGUUAUUCCUUUCUUUUUUAUGUAUCUGGCUAUUUUUGUUGUUAUCUUGCCAGUAUAUGUGAUAGAGCAGGAGGUACUGGGUUCUGUCUGUGGUGGUGGAUAAACUAAUUUCAGGGCUUUCUUAUGGAGUUUUUGGUGUUUCAGUGUUUUAUUGUUAGAUAAAAUGAACCAUCAAGUAACGGUCGAAUCCAUUAAUUACUUAUGGUUUUGUUAGUACAUAGAAACAUCUUCGAAAGAAUGGAAAAACUUUAAAAUAGCGUAUUACAAAGUUUAAUAUACUCAUUUAUUGUUAAUAACGAGCGACCCACAAUUAUUGGGAUCAAAGCUAGCCGUGCAAAAAAUUACGUAUGUCGUGUUUUAAUCUGAAUUUAUAUCAUUGGUUUAUCAAUUCAUUUUGAUUAACAUUAUAAAACAUAAAAAAUCAGUCGAAACCAGAUCUUUAAUUAAAUAUAAAAAGAAUUAACAAAAUUAUAAAUAACAAUAAUAAAUAAAAUCAAACAAGAUCUCUACAUAACCUAACUUUUCUUGUUAAGUUGACGUAAGCUGGAAAGUAUAUCUGAAUUAAGAAUAGACAUGCACUGUAUAGCUAUCUCUGUCGUUCAGAGCCACCUAUGGUGACAAUAAUUUUGGAUCACAGGUUAUAAUAAUUGCGAAAAAGGUCGAAAUUUAAAAAAGAUUAAUUUCGCAAUAACUAUUGUAAAAAUAAGUCUACAGCUUUGCAAUUUUUGUCAAAUAAGGGUUAUUUACUGCUUAAUAUGUGAGAAAAAUGUCAAAGCGAUUCAUUCAAUUGUUUAAAUUUUAUUCAAAGUGUUUAUCCCAGAGAGCUCUUUUUUGCAAUAACCUAAGUCAGAAAAAAUAAUGUUAGGACCAUUCAACAGGUGUCAAAUGACAAAGCAUGAGCUAUACUGUCAAACUGGUCAAAAAUGCAUUUAUUAGUAAUAAAUAAUUAUAAAAAUAAAAAUGUAUACCACUUUUAUUCAUUCAGUUGCGGUGCGAAACCAAAACUGUCUUAAUUUUUACUCAGAUCAGAGAGUGCAGCCAGCACCCUUAUCGACGAUUUCACCUCUUGUUAGAGGUUCAUCAGAGAUUGCAUAGGCUGCUUUUCUCUGGCCCAGGUAAAAAUCUUCGACAUAUCCAUCUCCCACCGCAACUGACGAGAUGGUAGUAGGUACCUAGCGGCAUCUGCUAAAUAAAAGACUAAGUUUUUCAACCUAAUAAAAAUAUUUGUAAAUUAAAUAUUUUUAAAAGAUUUUUAAUUGAAAAACUUUAUUGGCCCAUUUCCUGGUGACAACCUCCAAGGCUUCUACAAUAUGCAAGCCAAAUGGAUGCUGCAGUGAAGACUAAAGGGAAGGAAUUCUACACUAUGCAAUUCACAACCCCCGUCUGCAGCGUGGUAAAGUUCCAACAGAAAAUGGACCUAGUUACUCUAUAGGAGUAAUACUAAUAUAAAAAUAAAAAUGUAUACCAUUUUUAUUCAUUCAGUUGCGGUGCGAAACCAAAACUGUCUUAAUUUUUACUCAGAUCAGAGAGUGCAGCCAGCACCCUUAUCGACGAUUUCACCUCUUGUUAGAGGUUCAUCAGAGACUGCAUAGGCUGCUUUUCUCUGGCCCAGGUAAAAAUCUUCGACAUAUCCAUCUCCCACCGCAACUGACGAGAUGGUAGUAGGUGCCUAGCGGCAUCUGCUAAAUAAAAGACUAAGUUUUUCAACCUAAUAAAAAUAUUUGUAAAUUAAAUAUUUUUAAAAGAUUUCUAGAGAGAUGGAUAUGUCGAAGAUUUUUACCUGGGCCAGAGAAAAGCAGCCUAUGCAGUCUCUGAUGAACUUCUAACAAGAGGUGAAAUCGUCGAUAAGGGUGCUGUCUGCACUCUCUGAUCUGAGUAAAAAUUAAGACAGUUUUGGUUUCGCACCGCAACUGAAUGAAUAAAAAUGGUAUACAUUUUUAUUUUUAUAUUAGUAUUACUCCUAUAGAGUAACUAGGUCCAUUUUCCGUUGGAACUUUACCACGCUGCAGACGGGGGUUGUGAAUUGCAUAGUGUAGAAUUCCUUCCCUUUUAGUCUUCACUGCAGCAUCCAUUUGGCUUGCAUAUUGUAGAAGCCUUGGAGGUUGUCACCAGGAAAUGGGCCAAUAAAGUUUUUCAAUUAAAAACCUUUUAAAAAUAUUUAAUUUACAAAUAUUUUUAUUAGGUGGAAAAACUUAGUCUUUUGUCUUUUAAUAAAUAAUUAUGCAAAAGUAUCGAAAUUUUUCCUUACAAUCUUUUUGAAUAACUUUUUUCAAAAAAAUCUAUUUUUUUACCUUGUUUUAGUGCACAACUACCAAGUAAUGUUAGGUAUAUGAGAAUGGACAGAAAGUUGUAAUAAAUAUAUAAUUUAUUAUAUAAAAAUAUAAAAAGCUACAAUAUACCAGCAUUACUGUGUCUAAUUGACUUUAAGGAAACAUUUGACAUAGUAAGACUCAAAUAUGUAAUCCAUCUUCUGUAUAAUAUAGCAAAAAAGUUGCCCUACAUAUAACACUAUUGAAAACAUCUGCCAAAACAACAAAAUGGAAGUCAGAAUAAUUGGAUAACUUACAGAACCUAUAGACAAAGGCAACAUGAUAGGGCAGAGGGACUAACUAAGCCUUAUGGUUUUCAAUUUAUUGAUAAGUUCAUACUCUGCAUAAUAUAUCUUCGCGCAGAUACUAGAAGAAAAACAAGAAAGCAUAUUGGUUAACGGAGUGCGUCUAAACAACGUUAGAUAUUCUGACAACAAAGUAUUUUAAUACAGGGAGAAGGAAAGAUUUCAAAAUUUAAGAAAGUGGCUCAAUAAGUCUACGACUAGACUAUUACGAAUAAUUGCCACCAUGGUUAGGAUAGCCAUGUUAAUCGCCAGCAUCCGGAACUGAUAGGCAUUGUAAGAAAAAGAAGGAUUGCUGGAUUUACGAUUGGAUCCAAGCUGCAUUUUAAGUUAUUAGAAGAAAUUAAUUCUCAACGAAUUAGGGGCUCUUAAAAAUACCAUACUUGAUGGGUCUUACUUCAUCAAUAAUAAAAUUGCUGGGUGUUUUAUCUGUUUUGCUAUUUUCUUAUUUGGUUCAUAACUUUUUAAUCACACUGUAUAUUUAUUUCAUAUUUUGCACGCAAAUAUUCUUUAAAGUAUCCACUCAAUCAAUUUAUUUAUAAUUAUAAAUAGACAAGGCUCGGAUUAAAAAAUAUUGGAAAAAUUCUUUGACCCAAAAACAACACUUUGUACAUUAAUUUUUUUUAAAAUGAAUUUUGCACUAUUCCAACUCUAUUGAUACCUUUAUCUAAUCUAGCAAUAUCGGUAAAAUAUCUUCUAAAAAAUUUAAAUACACUUUACCGGUUAGGGUGGGAGGUAAAAUAUGUGGUCCUAUUAAUUUGUUAUUUAACAAAUAUUCCACACGUUGCUCUGCCCAAACGUGUGAGUCUCUGAAAUUGUAUAAUAUUCCAUUUUUGUUGAAUUUUACCUCAUCCGUGAAUAAACAUUACCUAUAUAUUUACAAUCCUUGGGUUUCAUUUGCUUGCAAACCUCGGAUUUUAGGUCCACCAACUAAAAUCAAUUCUGAGUGACAAUAGCCCAAUAAAUUACCGUUUUGGAGUGUAAUUUUCAGGGGUAACCCCGAAUUGCAUGAAAAUUUGGAUUAAGGUUCUACUUACCCUCCACUUCAAAGUUGAAAUUGUGCCGUUGGUUGGUUUUACUUGGGGGUGACAGUCACCCCUUCUCGGGGGGUGAAAAACGCUUGUUUAAAAUAACCACGGAAAUGGAUAACUUGACAUAAUAUAAGCAACUUUCGUUCUAUAAAGUUUUUUACGUAAGUCAAUACUUUUCGAGUUAUUCGCGAUUGAAAAUGUUGAUUUUCGACAAAAAAACUACGUUUUCAGAUUGUUUUUCGCAAAUAACUCAAAAAGUAAAUAUUUUAUUGAAAAAAAUAUUGCCAGUAAAAGUGUAGCUUAUAAAAAAUAGAAAAAAAUGAUGUAUCAGUAAAGUCUAUAAAUUGAGUAAAUGCAAAGUUGUAGCUCAUGAAAAAUUCGUUCUUAUUCGUCUAAUUCCAAAUCGAAUAAUUCAACGCGAAAUCACCGAAAAAUCAAGCACUUUUCGGGAAAAGCUUAUUAACAUUUUUAAAGUAUCUAAAAAAGCUUUACGUUUUUUACAAAAGUUUCUAGCAUCAAAAAUAAACGAGUUACACUGAAAAAAAUAAGUUGGCCCAUUUUUUUUGGUAAAAAAAUCGUGAAAACCUGCCUCUAUUUAGCACCCGAAAUAAAAUUAAUCGUUACCGCUUUACCAUUUAUUUUAACUCUAUGUGGAUUGUUUAUAUGAUCUGUAAGUUUUAUUGAUUUGAAGUACUUAUUUUUAAAAUAAAUUGGUUUUAUAGAAAAAAAAAUUUCUAAAAUUUUUUUAAAAAUUUUCUUUUUUCAAAAUAACUUAAAAAGUAUUAGUGAUAAGAAAAAUCUAAACGAGUAAGAAAAUGUUGGUUUUAGUAUUGUUAAUAUGAUUGUUUCAUUUUGUUUUUCCGUAAAACAAAAAUUUGUUAAGAUAUGGCUGUUCAAAAUUUGCAUACACUCGUGAUUAGUGACCCGUUCAAGUUUUUCACCUAUAACCCUUUCAAAAAUAAGCACUUUAAACCGGUGAGACCGACAGGUCAUAUAAAAAAUAGAUAAGUAAGUAAAUUGUUUGUAAAGCGGUAGCGAUUAAUUUCAUUUGGGGAGCUAAACACGGGGAGAUUUUGAUAAUUUUUUACGAAAAAAAGAGGGUCAACUUUAUUUAGAGCGUAACUCGCUUAUUUUUAAUGCUAGAAACUUGUAUAAACAAUUAAAAUAGAGCUUUUUAUAAACACUUUCAAAAAGAUUGAAUUAGUUUUUCCCGAAAAGUGCUUAAUUUUUCGGUGAUUUCACCUUGAAAUAUUCGAUGUGGAAUUAGACGAAUAAGAACGCGUUUUCCAUGAGCUACAACUUUGUUUUUACUCAAUUGAUGGACUUUGCUGAUACACCAUUUUUUUCAGUUUUUUAUAAGCUACACUUUUGCUAGGAAUAUUUUUUUUUUGAUCAAAUAUUUACUUUUUGAGUUAUUUGCGAAAAACCGUCUGAAAACGUAGUUUUUUUGUCGAAAAAUAAACAUUUUCAAUCGCAAAUAACUCGAAAAUUAUUGACUUACAUAAAAAACUCUAUAGAACAAAAGUUGCUUAAAAUCAGUCAAUUUAUCCAUUUCCGGUCUUAUCUUGAACGUAUGUUUUUUUACCACAAAUAAGGGGUGACUGUCACCCCCCAAGUAAAAGCAACCAACGGCACAAUUUCAACUUUGAAGUGGAGGGUAAGUAGAACCUAAAUCGAAAUUUUCAUGCAAAUCGAAGUUGUCCCUGAAAAUUACACGGUAUCGCCAUAUCUUCCGUUCAUUUACUGGGCUACAAAUAUAAAAUAAAUAUGCAGUGUGGUUAAGAAGUUGUAAGUCGUAUUUAAUUUUUUUUUACUUCGAGUUCUUACAAUUCACAUAAUUUCAGAAUUUAAAUUCAAAAUUUUAAUAGAAAAAACAUUUUGCCGAAAAUUCAAAGUGUACCACUAAAUUUAGUUUUUCAUCUUCUUUUUAAGUGCAGAAUCCAUUUAUAAAAAAUUGGUAUAUAGGGUGUUGCUUUUGGGUCGGAGCAUUUUUCCAAUAUUUUUUAAUAGGGCAGCGAAUGAGGGUAUUUGGCUCCGAAUUCCAUCCUACUACAUCGAUUUACUUGAUAUUUUCACAGUAGGGAAUAGCUCAAGAAAUAAAGUCUACCGUAUGUUGAGGUGCGCUUUUAUCUUGGCGGUGGUUCCCACCAUUUCUCGGGGGUGAAAAAUGUUUUGGUUAAAAUAGCCGCGGAAAAGGCUAUAGAACCUAAUUUUAAGCAAACAUUUUUCUAUAAUUAUUUUUUGACAACUCAAUACUUUUUGAGUUAGUCGUGGUUGAAAAUUGGCCAUUUUCAUUGAAAACUGACACCUUUUCGGACGGAUUUUGGGAAUACCUUAAAAACUAUGCAUCUAACAAAAAACUAUAUAAAAUAUUUCUGUAGGUUAUAAAAAAAACAAAGAGAUUCGUUCCUUCAUAAAUCCUCUAGUUGAAAUACAAAGAGGGAUAUGGUAGGUAAGAAAAGUUGUUUUGCUGCAUGCUCAAAUCGGUGUAUUCAACUUGAAAUAACAGAGAAACUGUCGCUAUUAGGUGUAUAAUGCUACUAAUAACUUUUGCAGUCCUUGAAAAGACCUUUAAAAUGAGCAAUACUAAAUGACAAUUACAUUCAAACUAAGCGAGAUAUUCUGCAAAAAAGUUGAUGGCUAAUGUAUUUUAAGAAGAAAUGAGUAUAUUUAACCCCUCAUCCAUCAGAAUUUAAAUACAUCGUUUUCCUUCUUAAAUACUUUUUAUUAUAGUGUUCUUUCUAUGUUAAAAAAGUUGGAAUGAAUUAAAAUGAAUGGUUUAAAAAAAAAUAAGAUCAAAUUAUAGAGCGCAUUUUUAAAUUUUCUUAAAAAUCUUCUUUUCCUCUAUGUAACUCGAAAAAGAUAAGAGAUACAAAAAAAAGAUACCACACAAAAAUGCAAGGCUUUUUCAGAUAAAAAAUUCCCUUUAUUUUUCAUUACUGUAUCUCUUAUCAUUUUCAAGUUUCAUGGGGAAAAAGGAAGAUUUUUAAUAAAAUUAGAAAUGUUCCCUAAAAUUUGAUCUUUUUUUAAACCAUUCAUUUUAAACCCUUCCAACUUUUUGAACAUAGAAAUAACACUAUAAUAAAAGGUAUUGUGGAAGGAAAACGACGCAUUUACAUUUUGGUGGAUGGGGGUUAAAAUUACUUCUCAUUUUUUCUUAAAAUACAUUAGUUAUCAAUUUUGUUUACAGCAUAUCUCGCUUAGUUUUAAUGUAAUGGGCCUUUAAUAUAGCUUACUUUAAAGGUCUUUUUAAGAACUACAAAAGGUUUAGUAGCAUUAUACUCCUAAAAUCUACCGUUUCUCUGUUAUUUCAAGUUGAAUACAUCAAUUUGAGAAUGUACCAAAAAAACAAAAUAUUUUCACCUACCAUAUCUCUUUUGGAUGAUAACUUGAAGAUUUGUGAAGGCAAGUGCCUCUUUGUUUUUUAUAACCUACAAAAAUGUUUAAUAUAGUUUCUUUAGUUAGAUGCAUAGUUUUUAAGGUAUUCGCAAAAAACCGUUCAAAAAGGUAUUAUGAUUCAAUGAAAAUGGUAAAUUUUCAACCACGAAUAUAUCAAAAAGUAUUAAGUUUUCAAAAAAAAAUAUACAACAGUUUUUGCUUAGAAUUAGGUUCUCUAGCGAAUUGCGUGAUAAUUUUACCCAAAAAAUUUUCCACCUGUAACAAGGGGUGGCAACCACCCCCAAGAUAAAAGCACACAUCGGCUUUGGGUAGAAUUUGAAUUAGGAGAUAAGUAGACGCUAGGUCCAAAAUUUAAUUAAAAUCCAUGCAGUAGGAUAGAAUUCGGAGGUAAUAUCCUAUUCUUUCUCCCAUUGACUGGCGUAUAAUCCGGAUCUGGAUUAUUUAUAAUUAUAAAUAAAUUUAUUGAUUGGAUACUUUAAAGAAUAGUCUCGUGUCAAAUAUAGAAUAACUAUACAGUGUGGUUAAAAAGUUAUGAACCAAAUAAAAAAAUUGUAAAAUAGAUAAAUCACCCAGUAACUUUGUUAUUGAUGAAGUAAGACCCAUUAUGCUUGUUUAAGACCGCCUAAGUCUCCCCUUUCUACAGUUAACGUAUAUUACUUUCUCAUGAAACCAGUGGCGGCCCGUGAUGUAGUGCAGUAGAGCCAUGGCACUACCUUGCUAACUAUGCACAAACAUAUUUUUUAUCUUCAAAACUUUUUAUUUCCUGUUAAUUUUUUUGUGUGUAUUUCUUUUGAUCUUCAUAAAUUAUAUAAAAUAUGGCAACUAUGGGCAUAAUACAAUCCCUGCCGACAGCGGAGAGUAUUCGACAGAAGAAUCUCCUUCUUCCCGAAGGCAGUACUGGCACGACUAAAGAGAGAAAGAUUUUACGAACAUUCUAUGAAGUGACAGAGAAAGAGCUAUAUUGGACUAUUAGUAUACCUUAAAAUUAGAAUCUCUGUGCCAGGCACGAGGGUAUGAUGCCAGGUCUAUUUAUUUUGAGUUUCUUUACGUGCUGGUUUGUGGCUUUUAUUAUGUAUAUUUUCUGUUGAAAGUUUUUGUAUUGAUAAUAUUUUGUGGGUCUUUUGAUAAUAUUUUGAUUAUUUCUUAAGUUUAAUUUAUUAAUUGAUAACGAAGAUUAGUAUCUUAAAAAAUUUUUUUGGUGGUUUUUCGCUAGAAAAAAAAACUACAAAUGUUAUAAGGUGUUGUGGAGCUUUCGAGUUAGCUUUAAGAGGUCACGACGAAAAAUAAAAUUCAGAAAAUAGAGGCAUAUUUAAGGAGCUGGUCAAUCUUAGCGCCGAAUUAGACAACGACUUAAAGGUUCAUAUUAUUCAAAGUACCAGAUCUUUCAAAGGUCUACCUUCUCCGGACAUUUAGUUGCUUCUAAUUUAUUUAUGUCGCAGAAGUUUUCUGCUUAUAAGCAUCAGUUCUCCGAAUCAUUUCUUAAUAAACAUGGAAACAAUUUUAAUUUUUAAGCAAAACUCGGUUUAAAACUGAAUUAGAAGUAGGUACUGUAUUAGCGAGACGAAUUAAGUACUACCUCUGGGGCUGUUUCGCUAUCGGUUUUAUUGUAGAGGGAAGGUCUAAAAAACACAUUUGAAGAAACUAUUAAACUUUUAAGUAUUUUAGUUACCAUUCCUAUAUCAACAUCUGAAGCAGAACGCUGAUUUUCGAUGUUAAAACUUAGUGCUUUAGGUAUGCUACCUGCAGAAAAGCAUUUUGUAAAUAGUAUUGAUUAUUUUAUUCAUAGGAGAUUCUGACCUAGAAUAAUAAGCUACAUAAAUCUAAAUUAAAUCGAUAAUUUUUGAUAAUUUCCCGUCAUCAAGUAUAUUACGUCAGAUGCCCUUCGUUGCUACGAAAAAAUACAUUCAGUGACAUUAAUGACAAUUAAUGUUUUAAAAAUGAUAAAAGUGAUGACUUUCAACCGUCAACUUAAUAUUUACAAAAACUGUGUGUUUACUUGUACUAAUUUGUACUUACAUAAAUAAAUUACAAUAAAAUUUUGGUGUUGAACAGUUUUAUUCAUGAAAUAAUCGCAACAAAUUGCACUCGAUCUCUAAAUAAUUUUAGAGCUCUUGUGCAAUUACUACUGAUAAUUUUAACUAUAAAGUCAUUGAAAACUUUGCAACCAAAAAAUAGAAGAAUGAACAUCAUAUAUCGUAAACUUUAAAAGUGACAUUACAAAAAUUUGUGCAUGUGUGUGGAUAAUGAAAUAGUAUUAUUUUUAUAAAUUGGCAAAUAGAGACUAAAUCGUAAUAUCAAUUUUCAUGCAAUAUCAGCAGUAAAUGCUGGUGGUAGGUUAAGAGGUUUUUAUUAUUAAUUAAUUUACGAAACUGUUUUGAUCAAUGUUGGACAAUUGCUUGGCACCUCAGAUCAAUAAACUUAAGAUACAUAAGAUAAAAGUAUCCGCGCAUAUUUUUUUUUUUUUUUUUAGUUUUUGUUUUCAGUAUACCUUUUUUGGCAAUAUCGUGAAUCCGUCACUAAAAAUUUUGGCGGCUGCCCGAGUUCUGGCACUACCUUCUUAAAGUGGUACGAGCCGCCACUGCAUGAAACACCCUGUAUUACUGACAAAUAACUCCCUAGUAGCGACUAAUCUAUCAACCGACGUUAGUUAUAUUUCACAACUAACUCUAAUUACGAUUUUUGUGAUAACUCUAUAUUUUUAAAACGAAAUUAAUAAUUUAUCAAGUUAAAAUAUUGUACCUAACAUAAUAUUAUGUUAUUGGAUAAAUAAGGUGGAAAUUUUUAUUUGACAUUUCUUUACAUAUUAUGUAUUAAAUACAAAAAAAUUUUUGAUAUGUUCAUUAUUCAUUAUGAAAGUUGUUUAUUUUAUUUUUUAUUUUUUUAUUAUUUUUAUUUAUUUUUUUCCGUUUUGUAUUUAUUUAGUAAUGUAUGCGUUGUUUAGUAGCUGGUAUUUGCGUUUAUUGUUUUAUUUAUUGUAUUAAUACAUACGCACCAGAAAAAUACUCUGAAAGUAAUGAAGAUGAUUCGAAAGCAUAAUAUUGUGAAACUAUAAUUACAGCAAAAUUGUUAAAUAAAAGAAUUAUUCUCGUAAACUUCGUAAAGUAUACAGUGUGUCAAUUUUAAAACUUACAAUGGCUAUAUCUCACGAACAAAAGCUGAUAUCAAAAAAUGCUUAAAACCGUUUCUAGGAUAGUAAGGGGGAAAUAAAAUGACAUAAAAGAGAACUCACCCCCAUCAACCCCCUAAGCCCCAUCCAUCACAACCAAAAAAGUUUAAAAUGCAAACCCCUACUUGUGAUACAUAAUUGAAAAGGCUAUAAAAAAUGGUAUUCAAUGGUAUAAAUAAUAAUUAUACAGGGUGAAGCAAUAAUUGUGAAACUUUGGUUUAAAUGAAAAAUUUAAUAAGGUUUUGUUGAAUUACAGAUUUUAAAAAAUGUCAAUUAAGUAAAUAUUUAAUGUGAAUUCCGUUGUUUGGUAAACAAUAAUACAGCCUAUAUUCAAAUUCUGCACGAAAUUUAGCAAAUGUUCUAGUAAUAGGGCGACAUGCUUGAGUAAUUCUUUCUCGCAAUUCCCCAAGUGAAGCAAGUUGAGUUUUAUAAACAACUGAUUUAGGGUAACCCCAUAGAAAAAAGUAAUAUACCUUCCUACUAUAAAAAGUACUAUCCAAUGGUAUAAAUAAUAAUUAUACAGGGUGUUAAUAUCAGCUGGCUUACUAUGACUUUUGUAUUUGUAAUGCUAUUUCCCGGACUAUUAUUUUAAAUGGUAAGUGUCCGCUCGUACUUUUUUUUGUUAGUUAAAACUUAAUUUGCCAUUUUUGCCUUAAAUCUGUUUUUAUAAAACUUAACUUGGGUCACUUGGGAAAUUGCGAGAAAUAAUUACUCAAGCAUGUCGCCCUAUUACUAGAAAAACAUUUGUCAAAAUUCGUGCAGAAUUUGAAAAUAGACUGUAUUAUUGUUUACAAAACAACGGAACCCACUUUGAACAUUUACUUAAUUGACAUUUUUAUCAAAUUUGUAGUUCAACAAAACCUCAUUAAAUUUUUCAUUAAGCCGAAGUUUCACAAUCAUUGCUUCACCAUGUAUAAUUAUUAUUUAUACCAUUGGAUAGCAUUUUUUAUAGCCUUUUCAAUGAUGUAUCACAAGUAGGGGUUUGCAAUUUAAACUUUUUUGGUUGUGGUGGGUGGGGCCUAGGGGGUUGAUGGGAGUGAGUUCUCUUUCAUGUCAUUUUAGUUCCCCCUUACUAUCCUAGAAACGGUUUCAAGCAUUUUUCGUUUUCAGCUUUUGUUCGUGAGAUAUAGCCAUUGUAAGUUUUAAAAUUGACACACUGUAUAAUAACAUCCACUUCCCUUACUUUCAGAUUAUAAAUUUUGUUGUGUUUUACUGUUGUAUUAUUGUUCUGAUAUUAUUAGUAAUAAAGUGAUUAAAAAACCGAGAA